UAAUUAGUUUUCCCGAUUUUUUAGCCCACUCACUAAUAAACAUUCUAGCUAGGGUUUUUGUUAUCAGUUUUACUUGAAAGAGCUCCUCUCCUCCUGUUGUGUCCUCUUUGUUGCUUCAUGUUGCGGCUAACCGAAGAAGAACCGGAUCAGUUGAAACAGAGACGUUUUGGGAUUCAAAUCUAAUGUCUCUGAGCCGAGGGUCUCCCAGAAAUAGCCUCUCUACCCCCUCUGGGGUAGGGGUAAGGUCUAGGUACACUCUACCCUCCCCAAACCCUACUGGUGAGAUUGGCAGGCAAUCGAAAUUCUAUUUUAAAUAUCGUCGUAGUAGGCUCUAUGAUCAUUUCAAGAAAUAUGCUACAAAGGAGGAACGCUUGCAGAACAUGCCAACCGAUGUUAAUGAAGCUGAAUGGAAGUUCUUGGUUGAAUAUUUUGAUUCUGAUACUUUUAAGAGAAUGAGUGAGCCAAAUAGAACCAAUAAGGCAAAACAAGAAAUUAAUCAUAUUUGCGGCAGAAAAUCCUUCCAGGCAGUAUCUUUUGAACAGAGAAAUACAAGCACCGGAAAAGAGCCAAACUUGCAGAAACUUUGGGAAUUGACUCACAUGAAGAACGGACAUUGGAUUAAUGAUGCCUCUGCUGAAUUAAAUGAUAAGGUGAAAGAAUAUGUUGUUGAACAAAUUCAAGAAAUUGAAGAGGAUAUUGAUUUGGAAGCAUUAAUGAUGCAUUUGUGAAAGUUGUUGGAGAAAUGUCAAGUUAUUGUUGUGGUCAAGGAUUGGGAGUUAAGUCAACAAGUAGGAGAUCCAUGAAUGGAAUUCAAGAGAAACUGCAAGCACAACAAAAAAAGGCAGAAGAAGAAUGUCGUAAAAGAGCAAGUGUAGAAAGCCAGUUAAAAGAAGUAAAUAUUCAGCUUGAGGAGGAGCGAAAAAAUCGAGAAGCCAUGGUGCGAGACCAAAAACUAAUGAAACAGAGCAUGAUGGCAAUAGCAUCCCAUAUUCUAAGUAAUGAGAAUGGAGUUUCUGCUGCAUUUCUCAACAUUAUUUCUAAUUUAAGUGGUUCAGAUGAGGCAAGUUGCUCAAGACUUAUGGAUGACAUCACGGAUGAGCAUGAGUAAACCAACAUAGCUGGCAAUAUGGUUCAUCAAUGCACAAGUUACUAGAAGAAAAUUUGCUUUUAGGGUUGUUAUUAGAAUAGAAAUUAUGACUCUGGAGAUGUUCUUGUUCUUUUUUGUAAGUAAAAACAUAUGUUUUAGUGGUACUUAUUUUUUGAAGGUAUGUAAAUACUUAGUGCUUCAGUUGUAUUGCCUUUUGUAAAUAUAUAUCAUAUAUCAAUUUAUAUAUAUAUGUGAUGUUUUAAAAGA